CGAGCGGUAGAGGUCUUUCGGGAUCUUGAGAGCGGCGUACGGGUGCGGAACACGUGUGCAACCUGCCUUUAUCAGGGGGAUAGCCUUUCGAAAGGAAGAUUAAUACCCCAUAAUAUAUUGAGUGGCAUCACUUAAUAUUGAAAACUCCGGUGGAUAGAGAUGGGCACGCGCAAGAUUAGAUAGUUGGUGAGGUAACGGCUCACCAAGUCUGCGAUCUUUAGGGGGCCUGAGAGGGUGAUCCCCCACACUGGUACUGAGACACGGACCAGACUCCUACGGGAGGCAGCAGUGAGGAAUAUUGGACAAUGGGUGCGAGCCUGAUCCAGCCAUCCCGCGUGAAGGACGACGGCCCUAUGGGUUGUAAACUUCUUUUGUAUAGGGAUAAACCUACUCUCGUGAGAGUAGCUGAAGGUACUAUACGAAUAAGCACCGGCUAACUCCGUGCCAGCAGCCGCGGUAAUACGGAGGGUGCAAGCGUUAUCCGGAUUUAUUGGGUUUAAAGGGUCCGUAGGCGGAUCUGUAAGUCAGUGGUGAAAUCUCACAGCUUAACUGUGAAACUGCCAUUGAUACUGCAGGUCUUGAGUGUUGUUGAAGUAGCUGGAAUAAGUAGUGUAGCGGUGAAAUGCAUAGAUAUUACUUAGAACACCAAUUGCGAAGGCAGGUUACUAAGCAACAACUGACGCUGAUGGACGAAAGCGUGGGGAGCGAACAGGAUUAGAUACCCUGGUAGUCCACGCCGUAAACGAUGCUAACUCGUUUUUGGGCUUUCGGAUUCAGAGACUAAGCGAAAGUGAUAAGUUAGCCACCUGGGGAGUACGAACGCAAGUUUGAAACUCAAAGGAAUUGACGGGGGCCCGCACAAGCGGUGGAUUAUGUGGUUUAUUUCGAUGAUACGCGAGGAACCUUACCAAGGCUUAAAUGGGAAAUGACAGGCUUAGAAAUAGGCUUUUCUUCGGACAUUUUUCAAGGUGCUGCAUGGUUGUCGUCAGCUCGUGCCGUGAGGUGUUAGGUUAAGUCCUGCAACGAGCGCAACCCCUGUCACUAGUUGCCAUCAUUAAGUUGGGGACUCUAGUGAGACUGCCUACGCAAGUAGAGAGGAAGGUGGGGAUGACGUCAAAUCAUCACGGCCCUUACGCCUUGGGCCACACACGUAAUACAAUGGCCGGUACAGAGGGCAGCUACACUGCGAAGUGAUGCAAAUCUCGAAAGCCGGUCUCAGUUCGGAUUGGAGUCUGCAACUCGACUCUAUGAAGCUGGAAUCGCUAGUAAUCGCGCAUCAGCCAUGGCGCGGUGAAUACGUUCCCGGGCCUUGUACACACCGCCCGUCAAGCCAUGGAAGUCUGGGGUACCUGAAGUCGGUGACC
rnacentral:rRNA from 1 species